AACGAAACGGUUCGCUUUAAUACAGUGGGCUAAUGACGGUACCGUAAGAAUAAGCACCGGCUAACUACGUGCCAGCAGCCGCGGUAAUACGUAGGGUGCGAGCGUUAAUCGGAAUUACUGGGCGUAAAGCGUGCGCAAGCGGUUAUAUAAGACAGUUGUGAAAUCCCCGGGCUCAACCUGGGAAUUGCAUUUGUGACUGUAUAGCUAGAGUACGGUAGAGGGGGAUGGAAUUCCGCGUGUAGCAGUGAAAUGCGUAGAUAUGCGGAGGAACACCGAUGGCGAAGGCAAUCCCCUGGACCUGUACUGACGCUCAUGCACGAAAGCGUGGGGAGCAAACAGGAUUAGAUACCCUGGUAGUCCACGCCCUAAACGAUGUCAACUGGUUGUUGGGUGCAUUAGUACUCAGUAACGAAGCUAACGCGUGAAGUUGACCGCCUGGGGAGUACGGCCGCAAGGUUGAAACUCAAA
rnacentral:rRNA from 1 species